UUUCUUCUGUUUUUUCAUGAGAGGAGAAUGGAGGAUGCGGCAUAGGAGAAAAGAAGAGAGGUUGCUGUUUUUAAUUUCAGCAUGCAUGCAACUGUAAAGGAUAGAAUAAAGAUGUACACAUAAGAGGGGUGAGUCAAGAGAUUUAAGUGCUAUCAUUUUGCAUGAGAGAAGGGAGGGGUCGGCACCAGAAGAGGAGAGGAGGCAGCAUCUUGUUGCAAUAGUUCUGUUGCAUGCUUGCAAAAUGAAGAAAAAAGAAUAAAUUGAUGGAGUGAAGAAGCUCUCUUAAGAGAAUUUUGUAUAGGCAAUUAAGAGAGGUAAAGAGGAGAUGCAUCUAUUUUUGCAUGAGAAGGGAC
rnacentral:lncRNA from 1 species